rnacentral:rRNA from 1 species
AAGCCUUCGGGUGGAAGAUGAUAUAACUUAGUGGCGGACGGGUGAGUAACACGUGAGCAACCUGCCUAUCAGAGGGGGAUAACGUUCUGAAAAGAACGCUAAUACCGCAUAAUGUACGAAAGGGACAUCCAUUUUGUACCAAAGGAGCAAUCCGCUGAUAGAUGGGCUCGCGUCCGAUUAGGUAGUUGGUGAGGUAACGGCUCACCAAGCCGACGAUCGGUAGCCGGACUGAGAGGUUGAACGGCCACAUUGGGACUGAGACACGGCCCAGACUCC